GGACUACCAGGGUAUCUAAUCCCGUUCGCUCCCCUGGCUUUCGCAAUAUCAGCGUCAGUAUCAGCCCAGUGACCCGCCUUCGCAUCUGGUGUUCCUCCCAAUAUCUACGCAUUUCACCGCUACACUGGGAAUUCCAGUCACCUCUUCUGUACUCUAGUCUGACAGUAUCAAAUGCAGUUCCCAAGUUGAGCCCGGGGCUUUCACAUCUGACUUUUCAAACCGCCUAAUCGCGCUUUACGCCCAGUAAUUCCGAACAACGCUUGCCCCCUACGUAUUACCGCGGCUGCUGGCAC
rnacentral:rRNA from 1 species